rnacentral:lncRNA from 1 species
AAGAAAAAAAACUAAAUUUUGUCGUGAAUAGUAAUCCGGCAUGAAUAGUACCUCGGAUGAAUAGUACUCUAGUAUGAAUAGUACCUCGGAUGAAUAGUACUCCAGUAUGAAUAGUACUCCGGAUGAUUAGUACCUCAAAAUGAAAAGAUUAAAAUUUAAUAAGAAAGUUCAGACCAAUAUUUCAGUGAAAUGAUAUUAGAUGAAGCGCAAACCUCAGGAAAUUUCUAAUCAUUUCAGGAAUUAUAGAAGCAAUAAUUACCAUAGUAAGUGUAAAUUUAGGAAUAUGAAAUGAAAUAAUAUCACUUACAUAAUAUGAAGUAUGAAAGAAAAUGAUAUCCCUUACGAGUAUUGAAAGAAAAUAACAUCAUUUACCUUAGUAGAAAACUAGAUUUGACUGGUAUAACGGAUAUUAUCCUGAGAAAAUCUUGCACUAUAAGCUACCCUCAAAGUAUUCUUAUAUUCAAAAGAAAUACUCACAAUAUUGAAGUAGGAACACUUAUAUUUUUGGUGUUUUAGGAUGAAGGGUUACCUCUCCUUUUAUAGUGUAACCUCGAAGGAAAAAUCAAAUGAACUUGCCUAACUUUGUGACACCCCCAAAAUAGGUAUACAUAACCCAUCUUGGAUCGCCAGAAAAUACACUACUGACAACUCCAUUUAUACAACUGUUGAACUGUCGUGCAGAGUACGAAAACACAUAAGCUGUGAGUUUUAAUACAAAUAUAUGUAACUCUUAUGGUGCCUCGACCAUAACACCUUACAAUGGUACUUCACAUAAAAGUACAGUCAAUAACUGUUUUAGAAAUUAAAAUCUUUGGAAAAUACUCAAGGAAACCUUCGUACAUCGAAGGCCAUGCAUCUAAGUUAUGAUAGAUAUCAUAUGACUCGAGAAUUAUCCUUGGUUGACCCAAUAGACCCCAAAGAAAAAUGAGAAGAUUACUAUCAUGUUCUUUCCGAUGGUGAGUCUUCUCUUGACAUAUAAUUAUCUCCAUUGUCUCCAAUUGAGAAUUAUACUUCAACCAAACUCUAAGAUUAUAUAGGUAGUGCUCAUAGAUAUAAUCAGCAAGUGCAUGUGCACAACCUUGUCUUAUGAUAACACAAAGUCAUCUGUCAUUAGACAUCUUGUAUGAUAGUGGCAAAAAUGCCCUUCCAAAGUUGGGUUCACCUCACCCUAUUCGGUUCACCAAAAUUAAUGGUUAAAAUGACGUAUAAAAUACGACACACUUAUUUAUAAUUCUUAAUAAAAUUAUUUCCAUACUGUUUUAAGGGAAACCUCAACAUCUAUAGACCAUCGUUCUAUUCCCUUAUUACCCCGCUCGACCCAGCUACACUUUUAUUACCUGAAAGGAAUUGUGAAGCAAAAGGGUGAGCACAACUAGCCCAUUAAAGAAUAUUAUGACUAAAGAUAAUUAACUUAUCAAUAGCCUUCGUCAGUGAUAAAUCAGAGAUUUAGAACAUAUGGUAGAUGAUAAAACUUUUUAACCAUAGUUGCAGCAGAACGAGCAAUCCAUUAGAAGAGUCAAAUAGACCAUAAAGUUUAUUAUCUUCUCCAUGUUAAAAGUCCACCAACAAUGUUUUAUCCAUGUAACAUCAAUCAACAGUUCAUGUCCAAAAUUAUGUGAAUAACUCAUAAUCAUAAUUGUGGUUCUAAAUUCCUCUUCGCACCCAGGACGAAGAUAAUUUUCAUCACGUGUCUUUACCUGAAACAUCAAAGAUCAUGGUUAUAUGUAGCGCCCCCAAAUCUGGGUCCUAAAUCACCACGAAUCUGGUACACUAGUUCUAACUAUUGCGGAAGAUAUAAACAUAAAUUAUUUAUAAAUUAAACAUUAUACACUGUGGCGACCCCAAAUCCAGGUACUUGAAACCCGAACUCGGUUCUCCACGAUACCAUUUCUUUAAGCUGAAUAAUACUAAAUAAUAACACAUUCGAACUUAAUUUACAUACAUCAAAGUUUACUUCCCCAGGUACGUGACCUUCAAAU